rnacentral:rRNA from 1 species
AUUGAACGCUGGCGGCAGGCUUAACACAUGCAAGUCGAGCGGAGAUGAGGUGCUUGCACCUUAUCUUAGCGGCGGACGGGUGAGUAAUGCUUAGGAAUCUGCCUAUUAGUGGGGGACAACAUUCCGAAAGGAAUGCUAAUACCGCAUACGCCCUACGGGGGAAAGCAGGGGAUCUUCGGACCUUGCGCUAAUAGAUGAGCCUAAGUCGGAUUAGCUAGUUGGUGGGGUAAAGGCCUACCAAGGCGACGUUCUGUAGCGGGUCUGAGAGGAUGAUCCGCCACACUGGGACUGAGACACGGCCCAGACUCCUACGGGAGGCAGCAGUGGGGAAUAUUGGACGAUGGGCGGAAGCCUGAUCCAGCCAUGCCGCGUGUGUGAAGAAGGCCUUUUGGUUGUAAAGCACUUUAAGCGAGGAGGAGGCUACCUGGAUUAAUACUCUAGGAUAGUGGACGUUACUCGCAGAAUAAGCACCGGCUAACUCUGUGCCAGCCGCCGCCGUAAUAC